AGAGAGAUGCCAUUGUGCCCGGUGGGGCCCCAGGCCUUCCCUCACCCCCAGGCCAGCCCCAAACCACAGGCCACGUCCUGUUUCUCAGAAAUGCUGCCAUUUCCCAGAGCCCAGGGUUCGUGGGGGGACAGAGGGAGGUGGCUUCACAGCUGCCAGAGGAGGAGGAAGCACCCCCAGGAAACCUGGGGGCCAGGCCUGGCGUCACAAUAGGACGAUCAAGUUUAGGACCAGGAAGCUACCUGGGAAAGCCAAGUGGCAUACAGGCUCAGGCCCAGGCCAGCUGCGCCUGCCCCAGCCCAGAACCUGGCCCCACCAUGCUCUGGGACACACAGGAUUCAGAAUCAUAGACCUCAGCUGGAGUCCAACUCCUCCAUGUAUUAUCGUGUGACCUCGGUCAGUCACUCUAGGAUGUAGUCUAUAAUCCCACCUCACUGGCUUGUCCUAGGGAUCAGAUGGGACAGUAGAUUUGAAAGUGUCUUGUUAACUAGUGGCCAGGACGUCACCACCUCAGCCAGAGCCCACGCUGUGCCCAGCGUGGCCACCAAGCAGGACAGUGGAUCUCCUGGGACUCGCUGCUGGAGGCUCAGGGAGCUCGGGGGCAGAGCUGGGCGGCUCUGGGAGACCACUGUCCCCUCCCCAUCCUCACACUCAAGGGGAGGGAGGUGAGCCAGGGUCGCAUAGCAAGUGAGUGGCCCUUGAAGAAUGGAUUUUAACUCAUCCCUAAACCUUACCUUGCUCCAUCCUCACUCCUGUUUUUCCUACUUGUCCCUCUCCUGUGGCAUCUUCUCAUCACCAAGACUUGCUUCAAUCUCUCCCAUCCAAAAUGCUUCUCUUCCAAGCUGUGUGCCCGGCCUGCCAUAGCCUCUCCUUUACUGCUGGAUUUCUGAAGGGACUUGUCUGCUUCUUCCCUUCCCAGAAACCACCUCGGCACCCCAAGCCCGGCUUCCACCUCUCGGCUAUCCUGACAUUGCUCGCUGCCAUGGUCACCAGAGCCUCCUUGUCCCCACAGAGGACGCUUUGUCUGCCUUGUGGCACUCUCAGCCCCCAACUCUCCUGCCUUUUCCUCUUGCCUCUGUGCUGUUCUUUGCUGGUGCUCCAGGUUCUGUUCUUUUCCCUCCUGUUUACCCUCCGUCUCUGCCAGGCCAGCAUCUCCCCGCUCCUGGCUUUAGUUACCACUGCGGGUCAACAGCUGGCAACUCCCUGUCUGUAGCCCAGCCUGUCUCUCGACCACGACAGGCCCGGAGGGCUGUGGAUAGCGCCUGAGACUCCAGAUGUGCUCAGCUGCAACGCCCGGGCUCCACUCCCCAAGGUGCCACCAACUGAGACACCAGGGCCGAGGGCAGCUGGGCUCUGUGAAUCCCCAGGGCAGAGCUGGCAUCACUGGGACAAUCUUGACAGUCGUGCUGCCUGCCCCCUUUGGUCGGAAGUGGCGAGGGAUGAAGCCCAGAGGGGCGCUG